rnacentral:rRNA from 1 species
CCUACGGGGGGCAGCAGUGGGGAAUAUUGCGCAAUGGGCGAAAGCCUGACGCAGCGACGCCGCGUGAGGGAUGAAGGUCUUCGGAUCGUAAACCUCUGUCAGCAGGGAAGUACGGUCACUGUGCUAAUCAGCAGUGAAUUGACGGUACCUGCAAAGGAAGCACCGGCUAACUCCGUGCCAGCAGCCGCGGUAAUACGGAGGGUGCGAGCGUUAAUCGGAUUUACUGGGCGUAAAGCGCGCGUAGGCGGUAUGUCAAGUCAAGGGUGAAAGCCCGGGGCUCAACGGGGGAACUGCCUUUGAAACUGGCAAACUUGAGUGUGUGAGAGGAUAGUGGAAUUCCAGGUGUAGGAGUGAAAUCCGUAGAUAUCACGAAGAACACCAGUGGCGAAGGCGACUAACUGGCACAUAACUGACGCUGAGGAGCGAAAGCGUGGGUAGCAAACAGGAUUAGAUACCCCAGUAGUC